rnacentral:rRNA from 1 species
CCACCUCAGUUCAGGAGAG